CCUACGGGUGGCAGCAGUGAGGAAUAUUGGUCAAUGGACGAGAGUCUGAACCAGCCAAGUAGCGUGAAGGAUGACUGCCCCAUGGGUUGUAAACUUCUUUUAUAAAGGAAUAAAACGAGGCACGUGUGCCUUUUUGCAUGUACUUUAUGAAUAAGGAUCGGCUAACUCCGUGCAAGCAGCCGCGGUAAUACGGAGGAGCCGAGCGUUAUCCGGAUUUAUUGGGUUUAAAGGGAGCGUAGAUGGGUUGUUAAGUCAGUUGUGAAAGUUUGCGGCUCAACCGUAAGAUUGCAAUUGAUACUGGCAGGCUGGAGUACAGUUGAGGUAGGCGGAAUUCGUGGUGUAGCGGUGAAAUGCGUAGAUAUCACGAAGAACCCCGAUUGCGGAGGCAGCUUACUAAACUGUAACUGACAUUGAUGCUCGAAAGUGUGGGUAUCAAACAGGAUUAGAUACCCUUGUAGUC
rnacentral:rRNA from 1 species